UUAAGCGACUAAGCGUACACGGUGGAUGCCCUGGCAGUCAGAGGCGAUGAAGGACGUGCUAAUCUGCGAUAAGCGUCGGUGAGGUGAUAUGAACCGUUAUAACCGGCGAUUUCCGAAUGGGGAAACCCAGUGUGUUUCGACACACUAUCAUUAACUGAAUCCAUAGGUUAAUGAGGCGAACCGGGGGAACUGAAACAUCUAAGUACCCCGAGGAAAAGAAAUCAACCGAGAUUCCCCCAGUAGCGGCGAGCGAACGGGGAGGAGCCCAGAGCCUGAAUCAGUGUGUGUGUUAGUGGAAGCGUCUGGAAAGGCGCGCGAUACAGGGUGACAGCCCCGUACACAAAAAUGCACAUAUUGUGAGCUCGAUGAGUAGGGCGGGACACGUGGUAUCCUGUCUGAAUAUGGGGGGACCAUCCUCCAAGGCUAAAUACUCCUGACUGACCGAUAGUGAACCAGUACCGUGAGGGAAAGGCGAAAAGAACCCCGGCGAGGGGAGUGAAAAAGAACCUGAAACCGUGUACGUACAAGCAGUGGGAGCCUCUUUAUGGGGUGACUGCGUACCUUUUGUAUAAUGGGUCAGCGACUUAUAUUCUGUAGCAAGGUUAACCGAAUAGGGGAGCCGAAGGGAAACCGAGUCUUAACUGGGCGUUAAGUUGCAGGGUAUAGACCCGAAACCCGGUGAUCUAGCCAUGGGCAGGUUGAAGGUUGGGUAACACUAACUGGAGGACCGAACCGACUAAUGUUGAAAAAUUAGCGGAUGACUUGUGGCUGGGGGUGAAAGGCCAAUCAAACCGGGAGAUAGCUGGUUCUCCCCGAAAGCUAUUUAGGUAGCGCCUCGUGAAUUCAUCUCCGGGGGUAGAGCACUGUUUCGGCAAGGGGGUCAUCCCGACUUACCAACCCGAUGCAAACUGCGAAUACCGGAGAAUGUUAUCACGGGAGACACACGGCGGGUGCUAACGUCCGUCGUGAAGAGGGAAACAACCCAGACCGCCAGCUAAGGUCCCAAAGUCAUGGUUAAGUGGGAAACGAUGUGGGAAGGCACAGACAGCCAGGAUGUUGGCUUAGAAGCAGCCAUCAUUUAAAGAAAGCGUAAUAGCUCACUGGUCGAGUCGGCCUGCGCGGAAGAUGUAACGGGGCUAAACCAUGCACCGAAGCUGCGGCAGCGACACUAUGUGUUGUUGGGUAGGGGAGCGUUCUGUAAGCCUGUGAAGGUGGCCUGUGAGGGUUGCUGGAGGUAUCAGAAGUGCGAAUGCUGACAUAAGUAACGAUAAAGCGGGUGAAAAGCCCGCUCGCCGGAAGACCAAGGGUUCCUGUCCAACGUUAAUCGGGGCAGGGUGAGUCGACCCCUAAGGCGAGGCCGAAAGGCGUAGUCGAUGGGAAACAGGUUAAUAUUCCUGUACUUGGUGUUACUGCGAAGGGGGGACGGAGAAGGCUAUGUUGGCCGGGCGACGGUUGUCCCGGUUUAAGCGUGUAGGCUGGUUUUCCAGGCAAAUCCGGAAAACCAAGGCUGAGGCGUGAUGACGAGGCACUACGGUGCUGAAGCGACAAAUGCCCUGCUUCCAGGAAAAGCCUCUAAGCAUCAGGUAACAUCAAAUCGUACCCCAAACCGACACAGGUGGUCAGGUAGAGAAUACCAAGGCGCUUGAGAGAACUCGGGUGAAGGAACUAGGCAAAAUGGUGCCGUAACUUCGGGAGAAGGCACGCUGAUAUGUAGGUGAAGCGACUUGCUCGUGGAGCUGAAAUCAGUCGAAGAUACCAGCUGGCUGCAACUGUUUAUUAAAAACACAGCACUGUGCAAACACGAAAGUGGACGUAUACGGUGUGACGCCUGCCCGGUGCCGGAAGGUUAAUUGAUGGGGUUAGCGGUAACGCGAAGCUCUUGAUCGAAGCCCCGGUAAACGGCGGCCGUAACUAUAACGGUCCUAAGGUAGCGAAAUUCCUUGUCGGGUAAGUUCCGACCUGCACGAAUGGCGUAAUGAUGGCCAGGCUGUCUCCACCCGAGACUCAGUGAAAUUGAACUCGCUGUGAAGAUGCAGUGUACCCGCGGCAAGACGGAAAGACCCCGUGAACCUUUACUAUAGCUUGACACUGAACAUUGAGCCUUGAUGUGUAGGAUAGGUGGGAGGCUUUGAAGUGUGGACGCCAGUCUGCAUGGAGCCGACCUUGAAAUACCACCCUUUAAUGUUUGAUGUUCUAACGUUGGCCCGUAAUCCGGGUUGCGGACAGUGUCUGGUGGGUAGUUUGACUGGGGCGGUCUCCUCCUAAAGAGUAACGGAGGAGCACGAAGGUUGGCUAAUCCUGGUCGGACAUCAGGAGGUUAGUGCAAUGGCAUAAGCCAGCUUGACUGCGAGCGUGACGGCGCGAGCAGGUGCGAAAGCAGGUCAUAGUGAUCCGGUGGUUCUGAAUGGAAGGGCCAUCGCUCAACGGAUAAAAGGUACUCCGGGGAUAACAGGCUGAUACCGCCCAAGAGUUCAUAUCGACGGCGGUGUUUGGCACCUCGAUGUCGGCUCAUCACAUCCUGGGGCUGAAGUAGGUCCCAAGGGUAUGGCUGUUCGCCAUUUAAAGUGGUACGCGAGCUGGGUUUAGAACGUCGUGAGACAGUUCGGUCCCUAUCUGCCGUGGGCGCUGGAGAACUGAGGGGGGCUGCUCCUAGUACGAGAGGACCGGAGUGGACGCAUCACUGGUGUUCGGGUUGUCAUGCCAAUGGCACUGCCCGGUAGCUAAAUGCGGAAGAGAUAAGUGCUGAAAGCAUCUAAGCACGAAACUUGCCCCGAGAUGAGUUCUCCCUGACUCCUUGAGAGUCCUGAAGGAACGUUGAAGACGACGACGUUGAUAGGCCGGGUGUGUAAGCGCAGCGAUGCGUUGAGCUAACCGGUACUAAUGAACCGUGAGGCUUAACCUU
rnacentral:rRNA from 1 species